rfam:Mesocricetus auratus contig115021, whole genome shotgun sequence.
AAAGAGGCAUUUUUCAAUGCCACCCUAUAAAUCCAAAAAGAUCCAAG